rnacentral:misc_RNA from 1 species
AAACAAUUUAUCACCUCUCUUCUCAGUUGAGAAACUGUGUUCUUCAAUAUGCAAUUUGUCCAGCCAAGCAAACGCACGCUCAAAUCCUUGUAAAUAACUACCUUGCCAACGUCACUCUCCAAACUGAUCUCCUGUUGGCUUACUCAAAAUUUGUCCUUCUCCAAGAUGCUCGCAAAGUAUUCGAUAGAAUGUUCGAGAAGAACAUGCAUUCAUGGAACAUUAUGAUCUUCUCGUACGUUCAGAAUUCUCUUUUUUCAGAUGCUAUUUGUGUUUUUGAUAAGUUUCUAAAGAUGGGUUUUCGACCGGACCACUAUACCUUGCCUCCGUUGUUUAAGGCAUCUGUAGGGGUGGGAGAUUGUUAUCUCGGGUGGAUGCUUCAUGGUUGGGUGAUUAGACUUGGUUUUGAAGGAUAUGUUGUUGUGGGUAGCUCUGUUUUGGACAUUUAUGUGAAACAUGGGGCAUUGGUUGACGCAAAGAGAGUUUUCUCUAACAUGUUGUGGAAGGAUUCUGGUGUUUGGAAUUUGAUGAUUUCGGGGUUUGGGAAGAAUGGUUUCUAUGCAGAGGCUUUGAAUUUGUUUCGAGAUAUGAUUGCACAAGGGGUAAAGGUUGAUGUUUUGACUAUUCCUAGUAUUUUGAAUGCUUGUGGAGGGGGAGGUGACUUGAUGAAAGUGAAGGAAAUUCAUGGUCAAGUGGUAAAGAGUAUCUUAUUUAAUGAAGAUGUCGCAAUCGGGAAUUCGUUGAUCGAUUUGUAUGCAAAAUGUGGGUGCUUGGGUGAUUCAGAGAAGGUUUUCCAGAAUAUGCAUAAUCUGAAUGUGGUGACAUGGACUACAAUGAUAUCUAGUUAUGGAGUUCAUGGAAAAGGAGAAAAAUCAUUGGAUCUUUUUAAAAAAAUGAAAGAUUUUGGAUUUAAACCUAACCCUGUCACCCUAACUGCUGUUUUGGCUAGUUGCAGUCACUCAGGUCUAAUAGAUCAAGGUGGGGUAAUUUUCUAUUCCAUAUGGUCGGAUUAUGGUUUUGAACCUUGCGUAGAGCAUUGUGCUUGUAUGGUGGAUCUAUUGAGUCGUUGCGGACAUCUUGAGGAAGCACUUGGAUUGGCACAGAAUAUGAAGUUAGCAGCAACUGCAAGUAUCUGGGGUGCUUUGCUAGCUGGUUGUCUGAUGCACAAGAAUGUCAAGAUUGGAGAAAUAGCAGCUCACCAUCUCUACAAAUUGGAACCAAGAAACCCUAGCAAUUAUGUAGCCUUAAGUGGUAUUUAUGAAUCUCAGAAUAUUUGGGAUGGUUUAACAAGAACCAGAACAAAUAUGAGAGAACUAGGUUUGGUGAAGACUCCUGGUUGUAGCUGGAUAACCAUUGCAGGAAUGAUACACAAAUUCUACCAAGGGGAUUAUUCUCAUCCAUCUACAAAGGUGAUGUGUGAAACAUUGGAUGACAUGAUCAAGGUGCUUGCAUUGCCCAAUGUUUUCAAACAGGAACACUAAUUGUAAGUACGAUCUGUUUUGCAAAAUAUAAUUACCCACAAAAAUGACAGGAUGGGCACUGGGCAGAUGAUUCUACCUAUUUUAUCAGAAAAGAAUUCUAUUAUGAUUCAGAAUUUAUUGUGAUUUUUUUUUCAUUAUUCUGGCGAAACCAGAUUGCUUUAAGGCAUGACAAAUGGGUAUGAAAUGAUACAUAAUUGAACCACCUGGCAGUUGAAAGAAUAGCAUGGAUUUAAAAAGUGCUACAUGCUUGUUGUGCGAUACCUUUAACCUUUGCGUGUUAUUAGUUUUUCAUUCUUCUUUAGUUAUACAAUAUCAAACUCAUUAGAUUAUCUAUGGCUUCAUAUGGACUUGGGAAAAAAAUUUUGAUUGGGGUGAUUAUCAUCUGGUUGUGGUCCAAUGGUUUGUUUUAUUUUCAUGCACAAAUGAGUGGCAUGGUAGAUAGUUUGAUUCCAAGGGAAAGUUUGGACUGCUCUGUGACCAAAAUCUGCAUAACUUUCAGCUUUUAAUUGCUUUUUUACUGCAAUUUAACAGGAAAGUCUGUCAUACUUGUACUGUUGACUUUUGUAUAUUGAAUUUCUUGAUUGCACAUGCACACUUUGAUCGUAUAAAUUUUGUUUCACAACUGAAGAGAAUAAUUUAGUUCUGACUUGGCUGUAACACUAGUUGCUCUGGUUAGAGUGUCUGAAGACAAUUGAUAUGGUCUGAUUGUUGUAAAAACCUUCUUCUAUACUGAAGCUGCAACUUCCUUUCACUUAUUAUUUUUUAUAGUAUAGCAUGUAUGCAUAAGGUUCACUUUCUUGUUUUAUAUUGAAUUUAAUGUUGAAUUUGUAUUACCUAUUUAAUUCAGGACAUUGAUGGGAUGCAAUUAUACCAAUGACUAUCAUGUUGGUGCCAAAUUUAUGUAAAAAUAUCUCUAUACUAGUGCCUCGUUGUCAUUUUCAUUUCUUCUCUGCUACUUUAAUAAUAAUAAUAAUUCUGAAUUUACUUUCCUUUGAUGGUUUGUUUGGUUUUCUAAUAUUAAAGAAUAAUAUUAUUCCUCAAGCUUCACUUAUUAUUCCAUCAAUACAAUUUUGACAAUUUUUUGGAACAAACAAGAAAUUUUUUGAAGUAAUAUCUCAGUAGGGAUAUUGGAUGAAAGAAUAUAUGAUCAUGUUGCCUCUUGUCAUUUAUUUGCAUUUCAAUCAGACUUUGUGCUCAGGAUAGUGCUGAGUGGAGUGAGAAGAGGAUGCUACCAAAUCGGAAUCCUGGGAAUGUUCAUGUGAAGACUUGAUGUGUGAACCUGCACUUAUUUUUUCAUUUUUCUUAAUCUUCUCCUCGAUGUGCACAUCCUCUUCAAUGGUUAGUACCUUGGUUUGCUCUCCAUGUGUUCCGGGUAUGAUAGCUUCCUGAGCUCUCAUGUGUUCUUCAAAAUCUAUAAUUUCAGUUGUCUGAACCAUUCUCUUAUUUUUUUUCUUAAUGAAGCAACAGAGAGCAACAGAUAGAAAGGCAAGAAAGAAGAGACCACCAAGCGAGACAAAGACAAUUACUAUGACAGUUGAAUGAUGACCUGGUGUUGGUGUUGGAGGUGGAGGUGGAACAAGAUGAGGAGGUGAUGGUGAAGGAAUAGGAUGGGGUGGUGGUGGGGGAUAGAUAUAGUGACUAGGUGGUUUUGCUGCAGGAGUUGGUGGAUGAGAUGGAUGAUUGGGAGGUGUUCCUGGCACUGGUAAUGGUGAUGGCGGAGUAAUGGGAUGCUGUGGUGGAGCCACUUGAGGGGUGGGAGUAUUUUGAGGUGGUGCCACUGUUGGAGAUGGUGGUGUAUGACUGGAUGGGGGAGAGAUUGGAUGACUGGGUGGUUUCGCUGCAGGGCUUGGUGGUGGAUGAAAUGGAUGAUAGGGUGGAGUUCCUGGCUUUGGGAAUGAUGGUGGUGGCAUAAUGGGAUUAUUUGGUGGAGUUACUCUUGGAGGAAAGGGUGCAUUGUGAGGUGGCGACACUUUUGGAGAUGGUGGGGGCUUGUGGGAUGGGGGCACUUUUGGAGGGGAUGGAGAAACAUGUGGAGGCGUCACUUUUGGGGGAGAGAGAGGAUUGUGUGGUGGUGGUAGAGGAAAAUAUGGGAAAUGGUAGUCAUAGUUAUCAAUAGGAGCCAUUUCAGUCUUAGAAAGAUAUGGAAGUUGAUAGCAUGUGUUAUGCUGGUGCUGAGAUGUGGAGAAUAUGGCUUGGCGCUCUUGCCCAUUUGUAGUUUUGACUCGUUGUCUAAUGGAUUGCAUCAAUUUGCAUGCUUCUAAGCUUUUAGUAACUUGACUGUCAUGCUAAGAUUUCGCAGAGCUGUCAUUGAUUGAAUUAAAAAACACUUCUUCCUGUUUGUUCUACAAUUCAAGACAAGGAUAUUGAUGAGUUUGAUUGGCAUGACUUGGCCAUUCCAAUUAGUCACAAGUUUUCAUUAUUUCUGGUAAUUUAGAUUUUGCAUGGGCAGCUUCAAUUUUAUGCAAGGAGCUCUGGAAAAUGAUUUGGAUUGAAAUGUUUUCUCUAAAAUUGCAAUCAAACCCUGUUGAUCUUAUCAUCCAAA